CAUGUGGCUGUUUCUUAUUAGGAGCCCAAAGCUUAUCUUUUUCUGUGCCGUGUCAUCUCUCCUGAUUCAGGAUCUGGAGCCAAAAAAAAGGUGAUUUGAAAGGAAUCCAUUGUCUCUUGGCAAUUGGUUCUUCUUCCUGAGAAAGGUUCUAGGUGAGUGUGGUUCAGCUGAAAACCCCCAAAUUAAUACCUGGCCUGCAGUGAUAAAACCAGGGCACCAGCCUUUUGGCUGUGCCCAACCCUCCCCACUGAGCGAUGGUGAAGCAGCAGACAAGGGCGCCUUUCUUCAAAGUGGUUCCCCUUCAUCUCAUAAACUCUCAGCCCCUGCCUGAUUGGCUGUGCCAAAAAGGAGCCAGGCCCCCGCUCCAGUCCUCAGAUACAAAGCUCAGGUUGGAACAGCGCCUCCCUUUGCCAGACCCAGGGAUUGCACUUUACCCUGUUGAGGUUCCUAAACUUCUUUCAUACAAGCUAAGGACAUCAUGGGAAGCAGGAAGAGAGAGUGA